rnacentral:rRNA from 1 species
CCCUACGGGGCGCAGCAGGCGCGAAAACUUUACAAUGCGAGAAAUCGUGAUAAGGGAACCCCGAGUGCCCGUAAAUUCGGGCUGUUAAUCUGUGUAAAAAGCAGGUGGAGAAAGGGCCGGGCAAGACCGGUGCCAGCCGCCGCGGUAAUACCGGCGGCUCGAGUGGUGGCCACUAUUACUGGGCUUAAAGCGUCCGUAGCUGGAUUGUUAAGUCUCUUGGGAAAUCUACCGGCUUAACCGAUAGGCGUUCAAGGGAUACUGGCAAUCUAGGGACCGGGAGAGGUGAGAGGUACUCCAGGGGUAGGAGUGAAAUCCUGUAAUCC